GCAUAUCAAUAAGCGGAGGAAAAGAAACUAACAAGGAUUUCCCCUUAGUAAACUUGCGAAGUUGAAGCGGGAAAAGCUCAAAUUUAAAAUCUGGUGGUCUUUGGCCAUCCGAGUUGUAAUCUAGAGAAGUGUUAUCCGCGCUGGACCGUGUACAAGUCUCCUGGAAUGGAGCGUCAUAGAGGGUGAGAAUCCCGUCUUUGACACGGACUACCAGGGCUUUGUGAUGCGCUCUCAAAGAGUCGAGUUGUUUGGGAAUGCAGCUCAAAAUGGGUGGUAAAUUCCAUCUAAAGCUAAAUAUUGGCGAGAGACCGAUAGCGAACAAGUACCGUGAGGGAAAGAUGAAAAGAACUUUGGAAAGAGAGUUAAACAGUACGUGAAAUUGCUGAAAGGGAAACGCUUGAAGUCAGUCGCGUUGUCUGGGGAUCAACCUUGCUUUUGCUGGGCGUACUUUCCAGAUGACGGGUCAGCAUCAAUUUUGACCGUUGGAUAAAGAUUAGAGGAAUGUGGCAUCUUCGGAUGUGUUAUAGCCUUUGGUUGUAUACAACGGUUGGGAUUGAGGAACUCAGCACGCCGCAAGGCCGGGUACUUGUACCACGUUCGUGCUUAGGAUGCUGGCAUAAUGGCUUUAAUCGACCCGUCUUGAAACACGGACCAAGGAGUCUAACAUGCCUGCGAGUAUUUGGGUGGUAAACCCGAGUGCGUAAUGAAAGUGAAAGUUGAGAUCCUUGUCAUGGGGAGCAUCGACGCCCGGACCAGACCUUUUGUGACGGAUCUGCGGUAGAGCAUGUAUGUUGGGACCCGAAAGAUGGUGAACUAUGCCUGAAUAGGGUGAAAGCCAGAGGAAACUCUGGUGGAGGCUCGUAGCGAUUCUGACGUGCAAAUCGAUCGUCAAAUUUGGGUAUAGGGGGCGAAAGACUAAUCGAACCAUCUAGUAGCUGGUUCCUGCCGA
rnacentral:rRNA from 1 species